CCGGGACUUCGGGAGGAGGAGGUAACACUGGAGGAGAGGUGGUAACAGGGGGCUGGGUUAGGGCGGUGAGGGCAGAGAUUAGGGACGGCAAAUCGGCCGCGGGAGGGAGGGAUCCUGGGUCAGCAGGGAGACAGAGAUUCGGAGGAAUAGGGCAGGUGGGAGGGGCACGGGGUAAGGGAGUUGGAUGUGUGAUGGACGGAGAGGGUGAAGGAACGGAGGCUAUCAAGGAAGGGGUACUCGGGGUUGAGAGAGAAGCGGAGGGGGGUGGUGGGACUUCAAUGGGUGAGGUGAGGGAAGCCAUAGUAAGGUCCAGAGUGGGGACGGUCACUUGGGGAGGCAGCGAAGGACAUGAAAGCGGAGGGGUUUCGACAGGCAUGUCAGGAGGAUGGUUAACGAAGGGGGUUGGAUCAUAGGAGGGCUGAGACAUGGGAGCAGGAGGGAAUGAAUGAAG